rnacentral:sRNA from 1 species
AGGGCACUGUUUGAAGAAGCAAACAUGGUAGCAUCAAGCAUUCCCUGAAAUAUGGCUCCAAGGGAACAAUGAGACGUGCUCUUGGUCUUGGAAGCUCAUCAGAAUGUUUAGAGCUGGGGAGGUGUCCAAACGCCCAUUGCCUGGGCCGGCGCCCCCGAGGGUGCGGAGUGUGGAGGUUGCCCGGGGGAGGGCCGGCUACGGAUUCACGCUUUCAGGACAGGCGCCCUGUGUGCUCAGCUGCGUCAUGAGAGGGAGCCCUGCGGAUUUUGUGGGCCUCCGAGCUGGAGACCAGAUACUUGCUGUCAAUGAAAUCAACGUGAAAAAAGCGUCUCAUGAAGAUGUAGUGAAAUUAAUUGGGAAGUGCUCUGGUGUCCUGCACAUGGUGAUUGCUGAAGGUGUCGGCCGCUUCGAAUCCUGUUCCAGUGACGAAGAAGGGGGACUGUAUGAAGGAAAAGGCUGGCUGAAGCCCAAGCUGGAUUCUAAAGCACUAGGUAUAAACAGAGCAGAGCGAGUUGUGGAGGAAAUGCAGUCUGGUGGAAUUUUCAAUAUGAUUUUUGAAAACCCGAGCCUCUGUACGAGCAGUUCAGAGCCCUUGAAAUUGAAACAAAGAUCCCUUUCGGAGUCGGCCGCAACUCGAUUUGAUGUUGGACAUGAAAGUAUAAAUAAUCCAAAUCCCAACAUGCUUUCUAAGGAGGAAAUAUCAAAAGUUAUUCAUGAUGAUUCGGUUUUCAGCAUUGGACUAGAAAGUCAUGACGAUUUUGCAUUGGAUGCAAGUAUUUUAAACGUGGCAAUGAUCGUGGGCUACUUAGGCUCCAUUGAGCUUCCUUCCACGAGCUCCAACCUGGAGUCGGACAGCUUGCAAGCCAUCCGCGGCUGCAUGCGGCGCCUGCGGGCAGAGCAGAAAAUCCACUCGCUGGUGACCAUGAAGAUCAUGCACGACUGUGUGCAGCUGAGCACCGACAAGGCUGGGGUCGUGGCCGAGUACCCGGCCGAGAAGCUGGCCUUCAGCGCCGUGUGCCCGGACGACCGGCGAUUUUUCGGGCUGGUGACCAUGCAGACGAAUGAUGACGGGAGCCUGGCCCAGGAGGAGGAGGGCGCCCUGCGGACUUCCUGCCACGUGUUCAUGGUGGACCCAGACUUGUUUAAUCACAAGAUCCACCAAGGCAUUGCUCGGCGGUUUGGGUUUGAGUGCACGGCCGACCCGGACACCAAUGGCUGUCUGGAAUUCCCGGCGUCAUCCCUCCCCGUCCUGCAGUUCAUCUCUGUCCUGUACCGAGACAUGGGUGAGCUGAUUGAGGGCGUGCGGGCCCGCGCCUUUCUGGACGGGGACGCCGACGCCCACCAGAACAACAGCACCAGUAGCAACAGUGACAGCGGCAUCGGGAACUUCCACCAGGAGGAGAAGAGCAACCGGGUCCUUGUGGUGGACCUGGGUGGGAGCUCGAGCAGACACGGCCCUGGAGGCAGCGCGUGGGACGGUGUGGGUGGGAGGGGUGCCCAGCCCUGGGGUGCUCCCUGGACUGGGCCCUUCUGUCUGGACCCCGAAGGGAGCCCCCCAUUUGAGGCUGCUCAUCAGACUGACAGGUUCCGGGACCUAAACAAGCACCUAGGACCCGCCUCUCCUGUGGAGGUGCCCCCAGCUUCCUUGAGGAGCUCAAUCCCCCCUUCCAAGAGGGGCACCGUGGGCGCUGGCUGUGGUUUCAACCAGCGCUGGCUCCCGGUCCACGUGCUCCGGGAGUGGCAGUGCGGACACGCCAGCGACCAGGACUCUUACACAGAUUCCACCGACGGCUGGUCCAGCGUCAACUGCGGCACACUGCCCCCUCCUAUGAGCAAGAUCCCCGCAGACCGCUAUAGGGUGGAGGGCAGCUUCGCGCAGCCCCCGCUGAGCGCCCCAAAGAGGGAGUGGUCCAGGAAGGCCUUUGGAAUGCAAAGCAUUUUUGGUCCCCAUCGAAAUGUUCGAAAGACUAAGGAAGAUAAAAAGGGCUCAAAAUUUGGGCGGGGAACUGGACUCACUCAGCCUUCUCAACGCACGUCUGCUCGGAGAUCAUUUGGGAGAUCCAAGAGAUUCAGUAUCACUCGCUCCCUUGAUGAUCUUGAGGUAAUUUAAUUUUCAUUUUUCUUCUUUUCUCCUUCAAGUUUUAAAAAAUGCAAAUCCACCUUGCAGGUACGUCUGGCUCUUUUUUGAGUCCCUGUGGUCUCCUCCCCCUCUGUAGUGGUAACCCCUGUUUU